rnacentral:lncRNA from 1 species
AACAGAUCGUACAAUUCAUUUUAUUUUAUAGAAUAUUCGUUGAUGAAUCUCAGUGAAUACGCAUUAUUCAAUAGAUCUAUCUAUUCGUAUUGAUGUUACAUUUGUAAUCACACUAUCUAUGCAAUUAAUUGUUAUCAUUUUUAUCAAGUGAAUAGGAUAAAUUUUUUGUUUGUUAUUGCCUCUCUUUCAUUUGUCAAGCCUCUUUUUCAUUUGUCAAGCCAUUCUUUCAUUUGUCAAGCCUCUCUUUCAUUUGGCAAGCCUCUCUUUCAUUUGUCAAGCCUCUCUUUCAUUUGUUUAAACCUCUCUUGUUAUCAUUUUUAUCAGGUGAAUAGGAUAAAUUUUUUGUUUGUUAUUGCCUCUCUUCAAUUUGUCAAGCCUCUCUUUGAUUUGUUUAAACCUCACUUUCAUUUGUUUAAGCCUCCUUCUCAUCUCUUCUAAAUCGAAAAAAAAUGUGAUGUUUUUCUUCUUUGGUUACAAUUUCUUUUCAUCGUUAUCCAUAUAAAAACAUUGUUGUCGUUAAUGUUAACCAUCGGACGAAUCAAUGUUAUCCUUUUAUUACCAUAAGUGUGGCGAUUUUUUCAAGAUCUUUUUUGAAUAUAAGUUUUUCAAAAAAUUGCAAAUGCACAUGCAGAACAAGAAACACGAGUAUUAGUUAAAUACAAGUUCCAAACACUACGUGAGCUUCUCUGUUUCUUUCUUUGAUUUUUAUGAUUCUAUGAUGUUAACUACAUUACAAAAAAAUCCAUUCACCUGAUGUUUAGAACGUGUUUUUAUUGGUGCACUAAAACACUUAGAUCAGUUAGUUGAAUUAAAUUGCGAAUCACAAUCUUGAAGUGUUUGCGUGCAAUAUUUAGUACAUUGUCAUACAGUCAUAAGUCUCAGAGAUAUAUGUGCUCAAUUUU